AUUGAACGCUGGCGGCAGGCCUAACACAUGCAAGUCGAACGGUAGCACAGAGAGCUUGCUCUCGGGUGACGAGUGGCGGACGGGUGAGUAAUGUCUGGGAAACUGCCUGAUGGAGGGGGAUAACUACUGGAAACGGUAGCUAAUACCGCAUAACGUCGCAAGACCAAAGAGGGGGACCUUCGGGCCUCUUGCCAUCAGAUGUGCCCAGAUGGGAUUAGCUAGUAGGUGGGGUAACGGCUCACCUAGGCGACGAUCCCUAGCUGGUCUGAGAGGAUGACCAGCCACACUGGAACUGAGACACGGUCCAGACUCCUACGGGAGGCAGCAGUGGGGAAUAUUGCACAAUGGGCGCAAGCCUGAUGCAGCCAUGCCGCGUGUAUGAAGAAGGCCUUCGGGUUGUAAAGUACUUUCAGCAGGGAGGAAGGUGUUGUGGUUAAUAACCGCAGCAAUUGACGU
rnacentral:rRNA from 1 species